AUGCUAUUCUCGUGCUAGUGAGUAAGUCUCAUGAGAGCUAAUGGGUUUAUCACGGGUUUCUGCCUUUGCUUCUUCCUCAUUUUCUCGUUUCUGCCAUGUAAGAAGUGUCUUUCACCUCUCGCCAUGAUUCUGAGGCCUCCUCAUCCAUGUGGAUCUGCUCGUAGGCUAAAGGAACUUGGCUUGUCUCAGAUGAGACUUUGGGCUGUGGACUUUUAGGUUAAUGCUGAAAUGAGUUAAGACUUUGGCGGACUGUUGAGAAGACAUGAUUGGUUUUGAAAUGUGAGGCCAUGAAAUAUGGAGGAGCCAGGUUGAAAUGAUAUGGAUUGGCUGAGUCCCCACCCAAAUUUCAACUUGAAUUUUAUCUCCCAGAAUUCCCAUGUGUUGUGGGAGGGACACAGGAGGAGAACCUGCACUGGAAAGAUACUAAAGCAAGCUCUUCAAGGAAAGUAAAAAUAGUCAACGGGAGUACAAGAGAAAUACAGGAAUAAACCUUGGCGUAUUUUCCCGAGCAUUAAUGGGUUGACAGUGAAGAUGAAUCACCUGUCUCUAACAUUCUACUAUCAAAACCUGAGAUCAGAAGUUCCAUGUAAAAAUAUAUCAGCUGGCCGCGGUGGCUCACGCCUAUAAUCCCAGCACUUUGGGAAGCUGAGGCAGGCAGAUCACUUGAGGUCAGGAGUUCAAGACCAGCCAGACAUUAUCCUUACACAUAGGUGAAAAAACCGAGUUCAGUGGCGCGAUCUUGGCUUACUGUAACCUCUGCCUCCCAGGUUCAAGCGAUUCUCCUGCCUCAGCCUCCAGAGUAGCUGGGAUUAACCUGCCUCAGCCUCCCAAAGUGCUGAAAUUACAGGCAUGAGCCACCACGCCUGGCUGAGUUUUGACACUUCAGCACUAAAACAGAAGUUGUACAAAUAUAAAUGAAUCUUGCCAAGGAUGGAGAGAAUUGCAACAAGCAAACAUACAGAAAACUAAGUUAUUUUUCUGUUGGGAGCAAGCCCCCCAAAAUCCGGCCAUAAACUGGCCCCAAGACUGGCCAUAAACAAAAUCUCUGCAGCACUGUAACAUGUUCAUAAUGGCCCUAACGCCCAAGCUGGUAAGUUGUGGGUUUACGGGAAUGAGGGCAAGGAACACCUGGCCCGUCCAUGGCGGAAAACCACUUAAACGCAUUCUUAAGCCAUAAACAAUGGCAUGAAUGAUCUGUGUCUUAAGUGCAUGUUCCUGCUGCAGUUAACCAGCCUAACCUAUUCCUUUAAUUCAGCCCAUCCCUUCAUUUCCCUUAAGGGAUACUUUUAGUUAAUUUAAUAUCUAUAGACACAAUUAUAACGACUGGUUUGCUGUUAACAAACAUGUGGGUAAAUCUCUGUUUGUGGCUCUCAGCUCUGAAGGCUGUGAGACCCCUGAUUUCCCACUUCACACCUCUAUAUUUCUGUGUGUGUCUUUAAUUCCUCUAGCGCUGCUGGAUUAGGGUCUCCCCAACCAAGCUGGUCUGAGCAUUUUUCACCCGACCGAGCUGGUCUCAGCAUUUUUCACAUUUAUUUGGUAUGUCGCUUUAUUUUCUUUCAUUUCCUUGCCAGUCACUGCUAACUUUGAUCUCAACGUACUUGAUUCAGAUUUUACACUUUCAUAUUGCUCAAAUUUGGUGACUCUAUUAUUCCUCUAGCAGUUUCCCCAGAUCAGCACAUAGACACAACCCUUACCAUUCACCAUCACCACAUACAUCACACAUGUUAUCAGGCUGGAGUAUUAUCUUCCAUUUUGCUAUUUGCAUAUUAUGACACAAACCAGACACUACCUCAAUUAUUGGGUCAUGAAUUUUUUUCCAAUAUAAGAAGCACAUUAAAAGAAAACAUAAAAACUCCUUCAAAUGAAUAAUUGACAAAACUCUACACUCUUAACCUGUCAGGAGAUAAAAAGCCGAGAUAUCGCUUUGAAAGGCACUCUGGAAGUUCUAUCCCUAAGGUGACUGAGAUUUUUAUCACAAGUAAAAAAAUAUGAACUCAUAUACGCCAGAAUUUUUCAGAUGAAAUAUAAAUAUUUCAAGAAUUAACUUAUAUCGGUUAACUAGAGUUAACAAAGUUUAUAAGGCAAAGAUGAAAAUCAUUACUUUUAAUCUGAGCGUGGCCCCAUAGCAAGCAGAAUCAAAGUUGUAAUGGUAAGGAAUAAGGAAUAAGGAAUUUUUAAUAGUUUUGUCUAUUCUGAAAGUAUAGGUAGUCUAUGGAAUCAAUAGCUUGGAGGCUGACACCAUUGAGCAAUUAUGAACAUCACGACUCUCUACUCUUCAUCCUCUGACACACACCACUCCAUGGGAAAUUAGAGUGGCACUUCAUUACUGCCAGGUUGGUGAGGUAACCUAAGUUUUCCCUCUUGUUUCCACUGGCAUUGCAACGGGGAAAUGCUUGUAAGCAACCAGUGAAGAUGAAAACUCUGGAUCUCUUUUUGGCCUCCUCUGACAUCAGAGUUGGGUGCCUUGGUAUAGCCUGGUAAGGGCGGAAGUCCAGGCUCACCACCUGGCUUUUGCCAGCACGAAUGGAGGUAGUCUCACAGUUUCUGCUGUGGAGUUUUGCUAGAGUAGACCUGUUAUUGUCCAGAAGAUUUUCUGUCUUGCUAGACUGCUCCUUCUCUAGAUAGAGUGGAUUUUGUUGAGACUUUAUUUUGCCUGUGCCUAUUGGUAUUUUUAUGUUGCUGACUUCUUCUGUUCCAAGACUGGGUUAUAUGAGAACAAAAGGAAACCCAGGGAUCUUACCUUCCUGUCCUUCUUCAGGCUGCAAGGUCCCUGGCUGGUCUGCCUGCUUUUCUUCAUCUCUCAAAGUCCUCUUAAACUUGUUUCAUAUGUAAUUUGCAGGGGUUUUAAUUGUUCCUAGUGGGAAGAAUAGUGAAAAGUACAUACUUCAACUUCUCAGAAGUUGAAAUUCCCUGCAGUCGUUUUAACUUUCUUAGAACUAAAAAGUGCUUAUUUGUGUAUCAGCCAAAUGGAAAAUAUAUUAUUUCCUCCCUGAAGUUAUUAUUUCUACUAUCCUUGUUCUACUAGCACAGAAAAAAUUUAUAUUAAAAAAUAAAAACUCUAUGUUAUAUUGACAUAAUUUCUCUAUGUAUCUACUUGGAUUAAUUAGUAUUAUAGAAACAUAUGUGGUAACAAAAGUCUAGCUUUUUUUUUUUUUUCCAUUCACUGGCUUAAUACUUACUUACUUUAAGUUUUCACUACUUAUUCCCAGGGAUAUUCAAAGGGGAAGUUUUAUAAAUGUUAAUAGGAUUAAGACCUUCUGAUGCAUUGCUCUUAUAAUACAUUUUAAAACAGAAGAAACUGCAUCAUUUUUCUCCUACAUAGAUCAACAACUAUAUUCUUGGUGUUGGAUUAGUUAAUUACUAUCAAAGUAAUUACUUUCAAUGGCAAAAACAUCAAUUACGUUUGCACCAACCUAUAGUUACACUGCGAAAAGUGACUAUGGUAUAUCAUGAUGGGGUAUUCUAGAGUUCAGGAAAUCUGUUUCCUCAUCUGGAGUCUCAUUGCAUAUGGUUGUUUAAUAUUAUAUGUAAAUAUUCAUAAAAAUGUGCAUUUAUGUUUUUGCACCACUUUUUUGUAAAGGUUAGACUUCAUUAAAGGAAUUACCAGAUUAUAAUGAAGGUGUAUCCCUGGGGAGCAGAUGUGUGAUGGGCUUAAAUGACAACCAGCUAAAAGAGAAUGAGAUAAAAAAAUGUGAAUUGUUUUCAAGUGAAAAAAGCUAAGAAAUGGUUAACUAAAGUUUAUAAAACCUAAUGUCAUGUAAGAAAUGCACUGUAGUCUUAUGUUUCUGUACAGCUCAGCUUUGCUAUUUAUAUAACCAUCAUAAUAUAAAUGCAGAACAUUGCUUGAAUAAAAUGAUAACACUAAAAUGGGAAUAUUAGAAGAGAAGUUCAGUGUGAACGUAGUUACAAAAGGCAAGAAAUUCCCAUUUUUUAAAAUAAGAAUGUAAUACAUAAUUUCUAAAACUGAAAAAUAAAAAAAUAGGUAUAUGCUGUGGAGGAAAGUUCUCAAAAAGAAUUAAGUGUAUUAAAAAUGAACUGAGAGAGACUAUAAUACCACGAAAGUGCAUAAUAGUGAAG
rnacentral:lncRNA from 10 species